UGGGGAAUAUUGGACAAUGGGGGGAACCCUGAUCCAGCCAUGCCGCGUGUGUGAAGAAGGCCUUAUGGUUGUAAAGCACUUUAAGCGAGGAGGAGGGUACUGGUAUUAAUACUACCAGGUACUGGACGUUACUCGCAGAAUAAGCACCGGCUAACUCUGUGCCAGCAGCCGCGGUAAUACAGAGGGUGCGAGCGUUAAUCGGAUUUACUGGGCGUAAAGCGUGCGUAGGCGGCUAAUUGAGUCGGAUGUGAAAUCCCCGAGCUUAACUUGGGAAUUGCAUUCGAUACUGGUUAGCUAGAGUGUGGGAGAGGAUGGUAGAAUUCCACGUGUAGCGGUGAAAUGCGUAGAGAUCUGGAGGAAUACCGAUGGCGAAGGCAGCCAUCUGGCCUAACACUGACGCUGAGGUACGAAAGCAUGGGGAGCAAACAGG
rnacentral:rRNA from 1 species